AGCAGCCGCGGUAAUUCCAGCUCCAAUAGCGUAUAUUAAAGUUGUUGCAGUUAAAAAGCUCGUAGUUGAAUUUCGGGAUUGACCCAUCGGUCGUGCCUUAAGGGGUAUGAACUGGUGUAGUCAAUUUCUCACCUUCUGGAGAACCGUGAUGUCCUUAAUUGGGUGCCACGAGGAACCAGGACCUUUACUUUGAAAAAAUUAGAGUGUUUAAAGCAGGCAUUUUUGCUUGAAUACAUUAGCAUGGAAUAAUAAAAUAGGACGGCAUGAUUCUAUUUUGUUGGUUUCUAGGAUCACCGUAAUGAUUAAUAGGGAUAGUUGGGGGCAUUAGUAUUCAAUUGUCAGAGGUGAAAUUCUCGGAUUUAUUGAAGACUAACUACUGCGAAAGCAUUUGCCAAGGAUGUUUUCAUUAAUCAAGAACGAAAGUUAGGGGAUCGAAGACGAUCAGAUACCGUCGUAGUCUUAACCAUAAACUAUGCCGACUAGGAAUCAGACGAUGUUAAUUUUUUAAUGACUCGUUUGG
rnacentral:rRNA from 1 species